rnacentral:rRNA from 1 species
UUUAUGGAGAGUUUGAUCCUGGCUCAGGAUGAACGCUGGCGGCGUGCCUAAUACAUGCAAGUCGAGCGAACGGACGAGAAGCUUGCUUCUCUGAUGUUAGCGGCGGACGGGUGAGUAACACGUGGAUAACCUACCUAUAAGACUGGGAUAACUUCGGGAAACCGGAGCUAAUACCGGAUAAUAUUUUGAACCGCAUGGUUCAAAAGUGAAAGACGGUCUUGCUGUCACUUAUAGAUGGAUCCGCGCUGCAUUAGCUAGUUGGUAAGGUAACGGCUUACCAAGGCAACGAUGCAUAGCCGACCUGAGAGGGUGAUCGGCCACACUGGAACUGAGACACGGUCCAGACUCCUACGGGAGGCAGCAGUAGGGAAUCUUCCGCAAUGGGCGAAAGCCUGACGGAGCAACGCCGCGUGAGUGAUGAAGGUCUUCGGAUCGUAAAACUCUGUUAUUAGGGAAGAACAUAUGUGUAAGUAACUGUGCACAUCUUGACGGUACCUAAUCAGAAAGCCACGGCUAACUACGUGCCAGCAGCCGCGGUAAUACGUAGGUGGCAAGCGUUAUCCGGAAUUAUUGGGCGUAAAGCGCGCGUAGGCGGUUUUUUAAGUCUGAUG